CGCCGACGGCGGCUCCUAGCCGCGACUGGGGCCGCGCGAGGCCGGCUACGGCAGCCUGGCAGGGCCACAGCCCGCCGGGAGAGGAAACGAAAACGCGCUUUUGAAACGUGCGGCCGACACGGCUUUUCCUUUCCUUCCUUCCUCCCUCCCUCCCUCCGGAGCUUCCUUCCUUUCCUCCCUUUCUUCCUUUCAUUCAAAAAAAAAAAAAAAAAAAAAAAAAGGCCCCGGGUUCGGAAGCUGCAAGAUUCUUGAGAAUGAGGAGGAAGGCGGUUUACUAUGGGCAUCGAUGGAGGAUCUUGAAAGUUUAAAUGAAAGAGUAGCAGUGCAGAGCAGAGAGGAAGAUGGGGAAAGCGAUUUUAAAUGCCUUACUCUUUCCCGGAGGGUGGAUGGGAGUUUUCUGCCUAAAAAACCCCACACAGUCUGCAAACGCAGGGCGCAGUCAAAACAGGAAGAGAUAAAAUGUUAUGUAUACAUUUUAAUUUUAAAAAAAAAAAAAAAAAAAAACCUUUCUGCCGCUCUCAGAUCUUUUUCCAUUCUGAAAUGAUGCGAUGUUCCUUAAAAACAACAAAUAGUGAUUGUCUCUUGAUCUCUUUCUGAGACGAUUUGGAUACAUUUAAUCGCAGGUUUCCUUGAAGGCUUGCUUUUCGUUGGCCUUUCUGUGGUUUCCAACGGAGACUAAAGGGUCAGGGCCACGAACUCUGCUUUACACGUCCAAGUGAGAAAGCUGCAAACAGUGCCAGCCGUCCAUCCUCUGGAAAGCACUUGAACAAGCCUGUGAAGCCUUCAUUUCAGGGACACAUGAAGACCAAGGCCGUCUGCAAGCCAGGAGGAGAACUCUCCUCAGAACCCGACCAUCUGUGGCAUUCUGAUCUGGGACUGUCAGUCUCUGAACUAUACAGACUUUUAAUGAUAACACAAACCAUUUCUGUACUUCACGAACUGAAACGGCGAUUUGUGGUGUGGCAUCGUUCUCAGUCUUCCUCGAGUGUUCCCUGAGAUGGAGGUAACUGUGAUAAAUCGUAUAACUGUUCACCAAAAUCGGCUUCCGCUCCACUUCCUGGACGAGGAUUAGAUUGUAGAGUUCCACCAGAGUUGGGCCAAUGAAAUGUGAGCAGAAGCGACAUAGAUCUCUUUCAACCCGAAGCUCUAAGAGCCCGUGCUUCCUUCCUCACUCCUCUCCCCCUCGCUCUGGGUACUGGCAGUCGCUCCCUAUGCCUGGGUCACAGGGAAGACAACAGAGGGCAGAGCCUCAGGCCAAGUCCAGUAGACUUGAAACAUGAGCUGGGAAGUCUGUUGUUAUAAGCCACCACGAUUCUGGAGCGUUUCUUUCUUAACAGCUACACAUCCUAGCCCAUCCUCACCUAUACAACGUUGGGCACGCUGUGUGAGACUCGGUGUGUGGUGUCUGUGUCUGUACACAUGGCACAGGUUA